rnacentral:rRNA from 1 species
UAGGGAAUCUUCCGCAAUGGGCGAAAGCCUGACGGAGCAACGCCGCGUGAGUGAUGAAGGUCUUCGGAUCGUAAAACUCUGUUAUUAGGGAAGAACAAAUGUGUAAGUAACUAUGCACGUCUUGACGGUACCUAAUCAGAAAGCCACGGCUAACUACGUGCCAGCAGCCGCGGUAAUACGUAGGUGGCAAGCGUUAUCCGGAAUUAUUGGGCGUAAAGCGCGCGUAGGCGGUUUUUUAAGUCGGAUGGGAAAGCCAACGGCUCAACCGUGGAGGGUCAUUGGAAACUGGAAAGCUUGGGUGGAGAAGAGGAAAGUGGAAUUCCAUGUGUAGCGGUGAAAUGCGCAGAGAUAUGGAGGAACACCAGUGGCGAAGGCGACUUUCUGGUCUGUAACUGACGCUGAUGUGCGAAAGCGUGGGGAUCAAACAGG